rnacentral:rRNA from 1 species
GCUUACGGCGAUACCAACUUAGGCACGCCCGAUCUCGUCUGAUCUCGGAAGCUAAGCAGGGUCGGGCCUGGUUAGUACUUGGAUGGGUGACGGCCUGGGAAUACCAGGUGCUGUAAGCA